rnacentral:lncRNA from 1 species
CUCGCUCUCUCUCUUUAUAGCUUCGUAGUUUGUUCAGCAAGGCGUUCAACCACCGUAAGAAGAAUAAGAAUGGCUCGGUGUCGGAUGCUGAGGAUGGAGUGAGCAUGACGAGUGAUGGGUCGGCCCCCAACUCACCGAUGUGUGUGCGCAACAACCGCAGUGGCUCGCUCAAGCUCACCCACUCAUCGUCACUGUCGCCUGGAGCCAUCCAUUGGACGAGGAAACCUGAGGAGAGAGGUUGGCGAGGAUGCGGAGCAGCUCCAGGCGAUGGCUCCAGGCGAUGACUCCUUACCCGACCUGCAUGCAACGACGUCAUUAAUCGCUUAUCGAUAGUACAAACAG